UUGAUGGAAACUAAAUUAAAUCUAUGUUUCUGGUCGUAUCUAACAUGCUGUUUCACAGAAACCAAUGGCUACAUAGUGCAGAAACAUGGUGAAUGGUAAUUCUAUACUGUUUAGUCUUGUUCAUGUUUUGUUAAAUACAAGAUGACUGGACUAAGAUCAGGCAUUUAAAUGGUCUUUUUGAUUAAAACAUUUUAACACCAUGAGCACAAAUUUGCAUUUAAAUACUUGUGUAAACUAUCUUGGAGCUGAUGGAUCAACAGCUCAGAUUUGAAAUGUGGACAGUAGAUGUGUGAAUUGUAUUGACCUUUUACCCCCACAUUAGUUUCUGUUCAUUUCAAAGGCACCUGAAGCAUUAUUUAUUUUUAUGGUAUGAAAGUUAUUUCUCAUUUUAUGCAAUAAUUUACACAAAUGGAAGUUUUAUUGAAGCUAUAGACAAAAUAAUUGACAGCAAAAUAAAAUGUUAUAUUUCAUCAUUUAAUGGUUAUUUGGAAAACUGCAACAGGUUUUGUUUCCAAGUGAAAGUCUUUUUCACUCUAAUUCUGUGGCCUGUGAACCUCGGUGACGUCACACAGCUCUAGAAUGAAGUCCGUUUUCGCUGCUGAAUCUUUAAUUUCUACAGAAUCACACACAGACCUUUGGAGAUAGAUAAAUGUUUCUGAACGUGAUGCGUGAACAAGAGCUGACAAAAAGCACAGAGGUUUUCUCACCUCAGCAUGAAGAAGGAGCUGAUCAUCAUCCCUGCAGGACAGCUUUAACUAAGAAUGAGACUCCAGGGACGUCGAGCACCCUGCCCUCUGAUGUUCAGUCCAAUGAUAAAUCUGACAACCCUGUAAUGUUUCCUGGCCCUCUGUUAAGUCAUAAGCUGCAGAAGGACAACCUGAUCAGAUUUAUCCGGUGGAAAUGUCAGGAGUGUCUGCUAGACCAGGAUGAACCUGAGAAAUCCUUUUUUUUCUGGCUGAUUAUGAAACACUGCUAUAAUAACAACAGGAAAGUAAUGAUGGCUGAAAUCUCCGCACUGCUCUUCAGAGGCUACGCCAGACUGAGGAGACAACAGGGACGUGCUAGGAGAUUAGGAAGUGAGGAGUGGUGUCUUCCUCUGGCCUUGCUUUUGUCCUCAUCUGAUCCAGAAGAUGAACACAGAGAAGCCAUUAUUAAAAUGGGAGAUGAUUUAGCCUCCAAUAGAUUGAUCUAUGCAGCACAUAUCUGCUAUGUGGCGGUACAAAUGGAGCUUGGAUCACGGCAACAGUUUAAACUGAUUGGAACCGAAAGUUGGCCAAAUGAUAGAUCAGCCAUGAGGGAGGUGAUGGAGAGAACUGAGGUCUAUGAGUACGUGUUGUCUCUGACCUCAGGGUUCGGCCAGCCAUACUUCCAGCACUUCAAGUACCUUUACACCCGUGAGCUAGCUAAGGCUGGUCUUACUGGUGAGGUGUAUAAUUACUGCCAGAGCUUGGCUGCUGUGAUCUUCACAUUACCUCACUGCUUCAAAACCGUCUAUGUGGAGCGGAUUAUAAGGCUGUGUGAGUCGCUGCUUCAAAAUGAGGAGAAAAAACCUAAGUGGCUGUGGAAACUUUACAAGCUGCACAGAGAGAAAACAGCUAGUGCUGACCCUUUUACUGAAAUGUUACAAGUCAGGGCACGUUUAUCUACAGAUCAGAAGUCCAAACAGGAACUCGAGUCACGUUACAUUAUUGGAAGUCCUCUGGGCAGUGGAGGCUUCGGCUCUGUGCUCUCUGGAAUGAGUAAAGUGGACGGGAGACUGGUUGCCAUUAAAUAUGUGACCAAAUACAAUCAGUACAUCACCAUCCCCGGACAGACACGCAAACUGUUUAAGGAGAUAGCGUUAUUGGAGAUAGUGUCUAAGCCUCCUGUCUGUGAGAAUGUAGUGGAGUUGAUUGAAUGGUUCGAGACGCCCACCUCUUUCAUCUUGGUGCUGGAGCAACCCAUCCCCUCCAUGGACCUCCUCAAAUUUGGUAAAAUUUAUAGAAGCCAAUUGUCUGAAGCAUCGUGUCAGAUGAUCAUGAGGCAGGUAGCUCGGGCUGCUAAGCACUGCUGUGAUCGUGGAGUUUUUCACCGCGACAUCAAAAGUGAUAAUAUUAUCAUUAAUCCGGACACCCUGGAAGUGAAGCUGAUCGACUUUGGCUGUGGUGAUUUGAUGAAGGACGAUCUGUACAACAGUUAUUCAGGAACUCCAGUUUUCUGCCCUCCUGAGUGGGUUCUCUUCAGUCAGUAUUUUGCGGUUCCUGCUACUGUCUGGAGUCUGGGUAUAGUCCUGUAUGAGUUGGUCAGUGGAGACUUGCCUUUUUACUGCGAUGAGGAGAUUAUUGACUCGUUUUUGCCGUUCGUCCGUGGUCUGUCUAAAGAGUGCUACAACCUGCUCAUGUGGUGUCUGGAUCUCAUCCCUGAAGAUCGGCCAACUCUGGAAGAAAUCCUGAGCCAUGACUGGUUAAAGGAGGAGAUUCAGUUUGGAGACCAGGCUCCUACUGAUGGCCAGGAUCUGGAUAACUUCAUCAACACAAAUCUAAAAAAGAAAUCUAUCCAUAAAAGAUGAUUGAUCAUGAAUUUAUAAUGAGAAGUGUGGCUUUGCCCACUCUGCCUCCCUGGAUAGCAGGGACAGCCUACUGUAAGCUGAGCCAUGCCCAUGCUAGCACAGCACACUCAGAGAGCUCCACAGAGCUAUGGUCUACAGCGGGUUUACACUGAGCACCUGUCCUUACUCAGCGUGCAUCUUGAGAAGAAUUACGAGGUUAAGAAAUCCCUUGAGUCCAGGUUUCUGCACCACCUUCACACUUUGAAGUCGCUGAAGUUCGCUUCUGUCUUCUGUGUGUUUUAGGAACCAUAGGAUAUAAGUCACUCCUGCAGAAAUAUCGAGAUGUCACCUUAAUGUACCUUAAACCAAAACAUGGUCCUGCUCCACCAGCGUCAGGGCCACUGGUCCUGUUGGACUUUACAGCAUACAGCUAUGGAAGACAAAGGAUUUAGAAUCACACUAUUCGGCCUCACACACAAGAGGAUGUGGUCCAUUUUGAGUCUGGUUCCUCUCAAGGUUUCUUCCUCAGAUGUCAUUGUCACCUAAAGAGGGGUCAACUGUCAACAUCCCCUGCCCAUCCUUCUCGUAUUGCUCAGUAAGAGUACAGGUGUGUUUGAUUUGAUUCUGUGGUCCUGUCUUCCUGCCUGCGCAGACCCGUCAAUCAAAGUAUAAGCACCAAGCGAGCGCUCACUCACAUCACGGCCUGUGCAGUCAGCAUAGAUCCCGUUUACCCAAUAAUUUUUUGGCUUGUGCAUGCAAGGUGCCUUCCUGGGAUACCUAUGUCACCCGUGCCUAAAUCUGCCACUGAAAAUAGAGGAUCGGCUUGAGCCGUUUAAACAGUUUAACUCUCACCAUUACUUAAGUACUGUACAGUACUCCAGUACGGCUUUGAUUUGUUAACAAAAUAGAAGAAUAUUAAUGAGACAAAUUGUGCAUGUGAGAGUGGAGGAGUGAGUGGAGUGACCACCAUGGGGCAUGCUGAGUUUCUGUUUCAGCUCAAAGAAAAUUUAAAGUUUUCUCCAUCAGAAACAAAAUAACCAAAUAUUCAGUUUUUUUCUUUGGUCUUUAUUGAA